AGUUUGACCCCGGAAGUGCGGGCGCUCAGGGAGCUGUCACCGUGGUCGGCGGCGGCGGAGGCGGCGGCGGCACAGAGCCGGUGGUGGAGCCGCCGAGGCCACCUCGUGUAUGCAGAGACCAUGUGUGUCUGAUCUGCUGGGAUCCUAGAGCUGGAACAGGUUUCAUGGACUAGGCAGACUGGUCCUCUCUUAUUAAUCCUUCUAGGCACCCCGAGCAGAAGGCAGACCGGUAUUUUGUGUUAUACAAACCGCCCCCUAAAGACAACAUUCCCGCCCUAGUGGAGGAGUACCUGGAACGCGCCACCUUCGUAGCCAAUGACCUCGACUGGCUCCUGGCCUUGCCUCACGAUAAAUUCUGGUGCCAGGUGAUCUUUGACGAGACUCUACAGAAGUGCCUGGACUCCUACCUGCACUAUGUCCCCCGCAAAUUCGAUGAGGGGGUGGCCUCAGCCCCUGAGGUUGUUGACAUGCAGAAGCGCCUCCAUCGAAGUGUUUUUCUCACCUUCCUCCGCAUGUCCACUCACAAGGAAUCCAAA
rnacentral:sRNA from 1 species